GCUCUCAUAGUUCAAUGGAUAGAACAAUAGCCUCCUAAGCUGUAGAUCCGGGUUCGAUCCCCGGUGGGGGUA
rnacentral:tRNA from 1 species